CUACUAAUCCUAAUCCUAAUUCCACUUCCUCUAAUUCAUACUUUGUUGAUGACAAUUUUGAUUUUGAAUUUUUGGAUGAUAAGUUGCUUCAAGAACUCCUUCAAGAUGGAAGCACCAAUAGUCAGUAAAUGAGAGCUAGCUACUGUUGAAGAGUAUGAAAUGUGUUGUAAUAAUUUUAUUUGUUUCAUUAAAUGAUUUUGUUUGGUUAUGUAACUCAUUCUUAUUCUUAUUAAUGAGAUUGGGAUAUUGGACAUUUAUAAUUGUUAUAAGAAUUUAGUGUUAGAUAAUAAAAUAGAUGGAUUAUUUUUACGUGUUUUUUUAAAUAUAUUUAUGCGACUUACAAUUUUGAUUUGUUAUUUUCAUUAAUUCAUUAAAUUAAUAUUUUAUUUUAAAAUUUAAUAGUUUUUGUAUUUUCUUUACGUAUUAUAACUUCUUUUUUUGAAAGAAAAAGUUCAUUAAAUAGAAUAUAAUAGGUACUCCUAACAUGGUUUUUUUUUUUAUAAAAAUAAAAAAAGAACUAAAUCUAACAUUAUAGAGGAUAACAAGUAUGCACCUUCUAACUUGCUUAAAUCGUUUGCCUUUCAACAACUCCCCACUAAAUUCUAGCAGCUUCGAUGUGGUUUACCUCUACAACUCCCAACCACCUUAUAGGAAAAAGGACAAGAGAAAUAAGCAUGUUUGCAUCAUUCAUGCCAACCAAAUCAUGGGUUGAAUCUAACACGCCCCGUUUCCAUAACUCAUCCCUUGUUGAGAGCCUUCCUUUGUAGAACCUCCACAACAUCACUUGGACUUUUAAGGGAAUAUCACACCUCCAAACCUUAUUCAUUAUUUUUUUUAAAGGGUAUGAUUGACGAUUGAUCACAAGCUCAAGCAAAUAAUUACAACAAGAUAUCACUCUAAAACCCUUAAAUAAAG
rnacentral:lncRNA from 1 species